UCCUGGAAACGGGUGGUAAUGCCGGAUGCUCCGACUCCUCGCAUGGGGUGUCGGGAAAGAUUUCAUCGGUAUGGGAUGGGGUCGCGUCCUAUCAGGUAGUCGGCGGGGUAACGGCCCACCGAGCCUACGACGGGUAGCCGGCCUGAGAGGGCGACCGGCCACAUUGGGACUGAGAUACGGCCCAGACUCCUACGGGAGGCAGCAGUGGGGAAUAUUGCACAAUGGGCGCAAGCCUGAUGCAGCGACGCCGCGUGCGGGAUGACGGCCUUCGGGUUGUAAACCGCUUUUGAUCGGGAGCAAGCCUUCGGGUGAGUGUACCUUUCGAAUAAGCACCGGCUAACUACGUGCCAGCAGCCGCGGUAAUACGUAGGGUGCAAGCGUUAUCCGGAAUUAUUGGGCGUAAAGGGCUCGUAGGCGGUUCGUCGCGUCCGGUGUGAAAGUCCAUCGCUUAACGGUGGAUCUGCGCCGGGUACGGGCGGGCUGGAGUGCGGUAGGGGAGACUGGAAUUCCCGGUGUAACGGUGGAAUGUGUAGAUAUC
rnacentral:rRNA from 1 species